GCUCGUGUCGUGAGAUGUUGGUUAAGUCCGCAACGAGCGCAACCCCUACGUUUAGUUGCUAACGCGUGAAGGCGAGCACUCUAGACGAACUGCCGUUGACAAAACGGAGGAAGGUGGGGAUGACGUCAAAUCAUCAUGCCCCUUAUGUUCUGGGCUACACACGUGCUACAAUGGCCGGUACAGACGGACGCAAAGCCGCGAGGUGGAGCAAAUCCUAAAAAGCCGGUCUCAGUUCGGAUUGCAGGCUGCAAUUCGCCUGCAUGAAGUCGGAAUCGCUAGUAAUCGCAGGUCAGCAUACUGCGGUGAAUACGUUCCCGGGCCUU
rnacentral:rRNA from 1 species